UACAGAGGGUGCAAGCGUUGUUCGGAUUUAUUGGGCGUAAAGGGUGCGUAGGCGGUUUGGCAAGUCUUGUGUGAAAUCUUCGGGCUCAACCCGAAGCCUGCAUAAGAAACUGCCGGGCUUGAGUAUGGGAGAGGUGAGUGGAAUUUCCGGUGUAGCGGUGAAAUGCGUAGAUAUCGGAAGGAACACCUGUGGCGAAAGCGGCUCACUGGACCAUAACUGACGCUGAGGCACGAAAGCUAGGGGAGCAAACAGG
rnacentral:rRNA from 1 species